ACACGACUACAUUAGAUACCCCUGUAGUCCUAGGCGUAAAUGAUGCGAGUUAAGUGUGGGGGCAUCUACGAGAUGGCCCUGUGCUGUAGGGUAGCCGUUAAACUCGCUGCCUGGGAGUACGGUCGCAAGACUGAAACUUAAAGGAAUUGGCGGGGAGCACCACAACGGGUGGAGCCUGCGGUUUAAUCGGACUCAACGCCGGGAAUCUCACCGGAUGAGACAGCUGAAUGAUAGUCGGGCUGAAGACCCUGCAUGACCAGCUG
rnacentral:rRNA from 1 species